AGGGGGAUUCCCGAGACAUUUGCAACUUAGAAAAGGCCUCCUGAAAGCAGUUUUGGGUCAUCUUGAGUGGCAGGAAUGGGCAUCUGAGCAUUGUUCAGCACCUUUUCGAGCUCCUGAGUUGUGGGAUUGUCCAAGUAAUGCAGAUAUCGAUGAGAGAGCUGAUAUUUGGUCAUUAGGAUGCACUUUAUAUGCGAUAAUGUGAUAAUGUUUUUUACCAUGUGAUUUAAGAUUUAUUGGUUUAAGUUUUCGGGUCUUUGUCUCCUGAGAGCUAUAAUAUAAUUUGAUGGCAGUGUUGAAUGUUUUAAACUAAUUUGUGGAUUGUUAAUACAAUGUUGAAUGCUUUUUACUUUUUU